GGAGGCUGUACAUUCUCUCAUAUUUAAUACUUGGGACUGUGGCUAUUUUUUUUUUUAAGUAUUUUUGAGGUUAAUUAUUGUCACUAUUGCAGCCAGUAAGAUGUUGUGGACCUUCACUGCAAGAAGUCACUUGCUCAUGGUAUCCAACAGUCAGAAAAUGCUCAGGAUUGCUUGUUGUCUUAAUGCCUGAAUUUGGAAUGCUUUAUUCCAAGCCAUUAGCCACAGAGAUGGACUUGAGAGAUUCGGAAUGAUCUGUGAGCAACUGAUGUGGGUCAUGAUGUGUUUGAAGUAGGUAUUCUGGACCAUCUGUACUGUCUCCCUUUUUAUUUUUCUAUUCACCUUUGGCUUUUUAUAUGUUUAUGUGUAUUUUUGACUUGCACGAUAUUCCUCAGAGAAAAGGACCAGUCCUGAAGACCCAGGGGGUGGUAAUAAGGCUUCUAUGAUACUAUUUCCACUGCUGGUGGGAUGUCAUUAUGGGGACAGACUCUUGAGCAGGGUCUGAUGUGAGAAAGCAAUUGGCCAAAUCUGACCAGUUCUAAGCAGCUUGCUCUGCACUCACAGCAUAUGUAGAUAUGGAUUGAUUCAAAGCCUUGUUGACUUCUCUAAAGUUCUUCUAUUAAUUUCCCAAAAUUUGGGAUUUAAUUGUUUGAGAGCAGACAAGAGCAGCUGUUAGUGAAAGACUAACCAAGGCUCAGGUCUCCUGAUGCUUUCUUCUCCCCACUUGCUCGUUGUGGCUCACUGCGCUGGGCCUUGGUCCCACUGGCUGAAUCUGUUCGUGCCAGUGGAGCUCCGCUCUCUGCAGCCAGGAGGGCCUUUCCUUCCUUGUUACACUCAGAUGUUCUCAUGCUGCGUUCUCUUAAGCUAAUAUACAGCUUAAUUUACAUACGGCAACCCAUGCUUUUCUUUAUCUAGUUAUCCCAUUCACCUGGCUGCAUGGAGAUGUCACUGGGCGGUAUGCAAAUCAAACGUAAUACAUUAGCAGUUAUUAUAUUAAUAAUAUCCCCAGCUCUUGCAUUGUUUCUGAGCUCAGCUUUAGGAAAGCAGCCUCUGUACCACAGCACAUCUUCCUUUGCUCCUCCAGCAUACCCAGCCCUGCGCAGGAGAAACUGCAGUGCACUGGCACAGUAGCUCCCAUCAAAACGAAAUCACAACAGUUUUAAUCUUAUCAGUCUCAAAUAGUGG
ensembl:lncRNA